rnacentral:lncRNA from 1 species
UAGCCAACGAGGCUGCAGUGGUUCUGGAAACUUUGGUGGUGGUCGUGGAGGUGGUUUUGGUGGGAAUGACAACUUUGGUCACAGAGGAAACUUCAGUGCUUGUGGUGCCUUUGGUGGCAGCUGUGGUGAUGGUGGAUAUGGCGGCAAUUAGGAUGGCUAUAAUGGAUUUGGUAAUGAUAGUGGUUAUGAAGGAGGCAGCCCUGGUUACUCUGGAGGAAGCAGAGGCUAUGGAAGUAGUGGACAGGAUUCUGGAAACCAGGGCAGUGGCUAUGGUGGGGGUGGCAGCCGUGACAGCUAUAACAAUGGAGGAGGCGUACGUGACUUUGGUGGUGAGAGUGAAAGCAAUUUGGGAGGGCAUGGAAGCUACAGUGAUUUCUGAAAAAAUAACAAUCAAUCUUAAAAUUUGUACUCAUGAAGGGAGGAAACUUUGGAGGCAGAAUCUCUGGCCCCUAUGGUGGUGGAGACGAAUACUUUGCCAAACCACAUAACCAAGGUGGCUAUGGCAGUUCCAGCAAGAGCAGUAGCUAUGGCAAUGGCAGAAGAUUUAAAAUCCUGCCAGGAAACAAAGCUUAGCAGGAGAGGAGAGCCAGAGAAGUGACAGGGAGCUUACAUGUUACAAUAGAUUUGUGAACUUAGCCAAACAUAGUGGUGGCAGGGCGUAGCUGCUAAAAAGAAGGCAUAUUUUAGACAAUACUCAUGUACAUGGGCAAAAAAAAAAAACUCAAGGAGUGUAUUUGUGACUAAUUGUAUAGCAAGUUAUUUUAGUUUCUGCCCAGGUUGGCAGCUCUGCCUUCUUGGUGCAUGGCAACUUCAUCUGUUCUUCUGAUAUCACCACUUUGGUUCAUCUUGUGAGACAAUGGUGCUCGAUUGCAGUGUUUUCGUCUCCUUGGAGGUGCUUUUCUUUGCAUCUCCAAUGGGUUCAUUGUAGAACUUCAAAUGUCUAGUGGGUAUCCAAACAGGAAGCUGAUUUUCUCCUGGUGAAACACAAGCAAAACCUCUUCCCCAGGUUAUCACCUUCCCUAUUUCCCAUGUCUUAUUUUUGUUGUCUUUCCACCAAAUCAGUUUUCCUUCAUGUGGACUGUUCUUUUUACCAGUAAGAUGUUGUUCUGCAGAAGUAGUAGUUUGAUUUCUAUAAAUGUUUAAAAAAUUUAGGCCGGGUGCGGUGGCUCAAGCCUGUAAUCCCAGCACUUUGGGAAGCCGAGACGGGCGGAUCACGAGGUCAGGAGAUCGAGACCAUCCUGGCUAACGCGGUGAAACCCCGUUUCUACUAAAAAAUACAAAAAAACUAGCCGGGCGAGGGUGGCGAGCCUGUAGUCCCAGCUACUUGGGAGGCUGAGGCAGGAGAAUGGCAUGAACCCGGGAGGCGAAGCUUGCAGUGAGCUGAGAUCCGACCACUGCACUCCAGCCUGGGUUACAGAGCCAGACUCCGUCUCAAAAAAAAAAAUAAAAA